GUUCAUUUUGAGAUACGAGAACAGUGUUACCUUCUAUAUAGAAUUCAUUCAUGAACCAUAAAUUGCUUGUCACAAGUUAUUCAAAUGUUUAUUUAUUUUCCGAAGAGAAAGUGUGGAAUCAUCAAGUAUAGAUCUUGUAUUCAUAUGAAGAGAUGAAUUGUGAAGUAAAAUAAAGACUUAUGAUCUUCAGUUUCAACAGGUCCUGAAGUCACAUUGUGGAAAGCAUUGGUGCAUACUGUUUUUCGGAACUGUACUUUGUUGAUGAGAACAUUUUUAGUCACAUCUUAUCUUCUAGACCAAAAAGAAAAAUAAAAGUGGCUGCAAGAAAAAUAAAAGUGUCAGCGAUUAAAAAAAAAAAAAAAAAAAAUCAAAUCUCUCAGAUUUAACCGGCGGUGUACUAAAUAUUACUGAUGCAAUCUAGUAAAACAAAUAAUUUGUGGUGCAUAUCUUAUUUUUUUAUAAUAUGUUAAUGUCUUUAUAUGGAUAUUUGGAAAGAAGUUUGUAUAUGUUGUAAUUAUUUUCAACAUUUUGCAUACUUCUUCGAAAA